rnacentral:rRNA from 1 species
GACGAACGCUGGCGGCGUGCCUAACACAUGCAAGUCGAACGGGGUUACUCCUUCGGGGGUAACUUAGUGGCGAACGGGUGAGUAACGCGUGAGGAACCUGCCUUUCAGUGGGGGACAACAGUUGGAAACGACUGCUAAUACCGCAUAAUGUAUUUAAGGGGCAUCCCUUGAAUACCAAAGAUUUAUUGCUGAAAGAUGGCCUCGCGUCUGAUUAGCUAGUUGGUGGGGUAACGGCUCACCAAGGCGACGAUCAGUAGCCGGUCUGAGAGGAUGAACGGCCACAUUGGGACUGAGAUACGGCCCAAACUCCUACGGGAGGCAGCAGUGGGGAAUAUUGGACAAUGGGGGGAACCCUGAUCCAGCGAUGCCGCGUGAGUGAAGGAGGCCUUCGGGUUGUAAAGCUCUUUCGUCAGGGAAGAUGAUGACGGUACCUGAAGAAUAAGCACCGGCUAACUCUGUG